CACACACACACACACACACACAGUCACUCACAGACACACACACUCUGUCACUCACAGACACACACACACACUCACACACACACAGUCACUCACAGACACACACACUCUGUCACUCACAGACACACACACACUGUCACUCACACACACACACACACUGUCACUCACAGACACACACUCUGUCACUCACAGACACACACACUGUCACUCACAGACACACACACUCUGUCACUCACAGACACACACUGUCACUCACAGACACACACAGUCACUCACAGACACACACUCUGUCACUCACACACACAGUCACUCACAGACACACACACACUGUCACUCACACACACAGUCACUCACAGACACACACACUCUGUCACUCACACACACACAGUCACUCACAGACACACAUCACAUACAUUCACUAAUUAUUUUAUAAAUAGACAUUUUCCACCCAGCCUCCCUACCUGGAGAGCUGGUGUGGAUGAUGGAUCGGUCCCUGAGGGCUGGGGCUGCUGAGAGGCGCACGGCAGUGCUGUGAUCAGGCACG